GAUGAAAAUCUAUAUAUACUACUACAGAUUUUCAAUAUGACAGCAAUUCUGAAACAACUUCUUUGCGCUUUAAUUAAUUAAUAAUCGUGUCGAUCGAUGGUAGAACCUUGUCGUCGAAGGAUAUAGCUUCGUGCACAAAAGAAGGUUGCACGCGAGGUCGGACGCACGAGAAGCGCCGGGAGAUUGUAGUCACCUUGAGAUUCAAGUCCACGUCCACGCCUGGUUGUAAAGCCGGAGAGGGUAUCGGAUCACAAAUUCAUACUUUUGCGACUGCACACACUGGUGAAUUUCGCAUCGUCGAACACGUGGGUUAUACAGAAGGCUCUCUUAAUGAAAGGAUUGGGUAGAGUGAAAAUCGCUUUGAAAUUAGUUACACCCUCAGUAGCGGUUACUAUACUGACAUUGAGACUACCGAUCUCUUCCCAAAUGUCUGACAAGCUGGUAUGUAUGUUGUUAAUUAUUAACAUGCCAACUCUGGUCUAUCACCUCAAUACCUUGUCACGGGAGUGCAUUUUAUCGUUCAUGAGGGUAAAGGAGAUUAGUUUAAUAAAUAUACUUUAGAU